GAUGAACGCUGGCGGCGUGCCUAAUACAUGCAAGUCGAGCGAACGGACGAGAAGCUUGCUUCUCUGAUGUUAGCGGCGGACGGGUGAGUAACACGUGGAUAACCUACCUAUAAGACUGGGAUAACUUCGGGAAACCGGAGCUAAUACCGGAUGAUAUUUUGAACCGCAUGGUUCAAAAGUGAAAGACGGUCUUGCUGUCACUUAUAGAUGGAUCCGCGCUGCAUUAGCUAGUUGGUAAGGUAACGGCUUACCAAGGCAACGAUGCCUAGCCGACCUGAGAGGGUGAUCGGCCACACUGGAACUGAGACACGGUCCAGACUCCUACGGGAGGCAGCAGUAGGGAAUCUUCCGCAAUGGGCGAAAGCCUGACGGAGCAACGCCGCGUGAGUGAUGAAGGUCUUCGGAUCGUAAAACUCUGUUAUUAGGGAAGAACAUAUGUGUAAGUAACUGUGCACAUCUUGACGGUACCUAAUCAGAAAGCCACGGCUAACUACGUG
rnacentral:rRNA from 1 species